rnacentral:rRNA from 1 species
GGUGGUUUCUUAAGUCUGAUGUGAAAGCCCACGGCUCAACCGUGGAGGGUCAUUGGAAACUGGGAGACUUGAGUGCAGAAGAGGAAAGUGGAAGUCCAUGCGAAGCGAUGAAAAGCGUACACAUAUGGAGGAACACCAGCGGCGGAAGGGCGACUAACACGUCGGUAACCUGACAAUAAGACUGCGAAAACGCCGGGAGCAAACAGGACUAGAUACCCUGGUAGAACACGCCGUAAACGCAUGAGUGCGAAAGUGAAAGACGGCUUCCGCUGUCACUUAGGGAUGGAACCGCGAACGCAUUAAGCACUCAGCCUGGGGAGGUAACGGCUCACCAAGGCAACGAAACGCAAACGAACUGAGAGGGUGACCCGCCACACAGCGACGGAGACACGUGCCCAAACUCGAAGCAACGCGAAGAACCUUACCAGGUCUUGACAUCCUCCGAAAACCCUAGACAUAAAGCUUCUCCGACGGGAGCAGAGCGACACGUGAGUGCAUGGAAGGCGUCAGCUCGGGUCGUAAAACUCUGUUGGGUUAAGUCCCGCAACGAGCACAACCCGUGAUCUUAGUUGCCAUCAAUAAGCUGGGCACUCUAAGGUGACUGCCGGUAACAAACCGGAGAAAGCCACGGAUAACGACAAACCAGCAUGCCGCCGUAAGACCUAGGCGACAAACGUGCUACAAUGGACGGAAUCAAAGAGCGGAAAGACCGCGCAGGUGGUAGCUUAAGUCUCAUGUAAAACCCUUCACAGCUCAACAGUGGAGGCUGCAACUCGCAAACAGGAAGACUGGAAUCGCUAGUAAUCGAGGAUAAGCAUGCCGCGGUGAAUACGUUCCCGGGCCUUGUACACACCGCCCGUCACACCACGAGAGUUUGUAACACCCGAAGUCGGUGGGGUAACCUUUUUGGA